rnacentral:rRNA from 1 species
AUGGAAGAUCCACCGUCUCCACCUACUACAUGGACAGCUACAUAUCGUGAAAGGGCCUCAAGACCUUCCGAAAGCUGCACAAACAUGGCGUCAUCGAUCUUGGGGCUGACCAUUCAGAUGGCGGAGAGCCUCAUUAACACGGGCUUCUCCAGCCGCCGGAUGGACAUCCCCCAGCAUUCCUUCGUGCUCGUUGUAGUCACCCGCUCCGAGUCGCUCAACCUCAGGGCGGCCAUCGACGCCACCAAGCUCGCCAGCACGCUCGUCUCGCUAGACGGCGCCAAGGUGAUCACCUUCUACAUAGGUGUGGUCUUCAGCUUCAUCCAGGUCACCGUGCAGUGCAACCUCGCUGGCUAG